rnacentral:rRNA from 1 species
AUACGGAGGCUCCGAGCGUUAUCCGGAUUUAUUGGGUUUAAAGGGUGCGCAGGCGGCCAUUUAAGUCAGCGGUUAAAUCGUGGGGCUCAACCCCAUUCUGCCGUUGAUACUGGGUGGCUUGAUUGCGGUCGACGUUGGCGGAAUUCGUUGUGUAGCGGUGAAAUGCAUAGAUAUGACGAAGAACACCGAUUGCGUAGGCAGCUGACCAGAUCGCAAAUGACGCUCAUGCACGAAAGUGCGGGGAUCGAACAGGAUUAGAUACCCUGGUAGUCCGCACAGUAAACGAUGAAUACUUGUUUUCGGCGAUAUAAUGUCGGAGGCAAAGCGAAAGCGAUAAGUAUUCCACCUGGGGAGUACGCCGGCAACGGUGAAACUCAAAUGAAUUGACGGGG